GACGAACGCUGGCGGCGUGCUUAACACAUGCAAGUCGAACGGAAAGGCCUCUUUCGGGGGGUACUCGAGUGGCGAACGGGUGAGUAACACGUGAGUAACCUGCCCUUGACUUUGGGAUAACUUCAGGAAACUGGGGCUAAUACCGGAUAGGAGCUCCUGCUGCAUGGUGGGGGUUGGAAAGUUUCGGCGGUUGGGGAUGGACUCGCGGCUUAUCAGCUUGUUGGUGGGGUAGUGGCUUACCAAGGCUUUGACGGGUAGCCGGCCUGAGAGGGUGACCGGCCACAUUGGGACUGAGAUGCGGCCCAGACUCCGACGGGAGGCAGCAGUGGGGAAUAUUGCACAAUGGGUGGAAGCCUGAUGCAGCAACGCCGUGUGCGGGAUGACGGCCUUCGGGUUGGAAACCGCUUUCGCUCAUGACGAAGCUUUGUGUGACGGUAGUGGGUAAAGAAGCACCGGCUAACUACGUG
rnacentral:rRNA from 1 species